rnacentral:rRNA from 1 species
GUCGCACGAGAACGCUUCAGCUUGCUGAAGCUAGUAAAGUGGCGAACGGGUGAGUAACGCGUGGGUAACCUACCUCCGAAUUGGGGAUAACAUUGCGAAAGCGAUGCUAAUACCGAAUGACAUCCAUGUGACUUCGGUGGCAUGGAUCAAAGGUGGCCUCUACAUGUAAGCUACUGUUUGGAGAUGGGCCCGCGUACCAUUAGCUUGUUGGUGGGGUAAAGGCUCACCAAGGCGACGAUGGUUAGCUGUUCUGAGAGGAUGAUCAGCCACACUGGAACUGACACACGGUCCAGACUCCUACGGGAGGCAGCAGUGAGGAAUUUUGCGCAAUGGGGGAAACCCUGACGCAGCAACGCCGCGUGAGUGAUGAAGGCUUUCGGGUCGUAAAGCUCUGUCAAGUGGGAAGAAACCGCGUGGUGUCAAUAACACCAAGCGCUGACGGUACCACUGAAGGAAGCACCGGCUAACUCCGUGCCAGCAGCCGCGGUAAUACGGGGGGUGCAAGCGUUACUCGGAAUCACUGGGCGUAAAGGGCGCGCAGGCGGUUUGGCAAGUCAGAUGUGAAAGCCCGGGGCUUAACCCCGGAAGUGCAUCUGAAACUGCUGAACUUGAGUAUGGGAGAGGGAAGUGGAAUUCCUGGUGUAGCGGUGAAAUGCGUAGAUAUCAGGAGGAACACCGGUGGCGAAGGCGACUUCCUGGACCAAUACUGACGCUGAGGCGCGAAGGCGUGGGGAGCAAACAGGAUUAGAUACCCUGGUAGUCCACGCAGUAAACGGUGAACACUAGGUGUAGUGGGUAUUGACCCCCGCUGUGCCGCAGCUAACGCAUUAAGUGUUCCGCCUGGGGAGUACGGCCGCAACGUUAAAACUCAAGGAAUUGACGGGGGCCCGCACAAGCGGUGGAGCAUGUGGUUUAAUUCGACGCAACGCGAAGAACCUUACCUGGGUUUGACAUCCCGGGAGUCCUUUUGA